GCAGACACAUUCCAGCCAAUCAGCAGCAGACCCUCCCUCCCAGAUCCUCCCACCUCCUGGACAGCAUCCAUUUUACAUUCAUUGUGAAGCUGCAUUCUUAGUGAGCUGUCCAGGAGGUGGGAGGGUCUGGGAGGGAGGGUUUGCUGCUGAUUGGCUGGAAUGUGUCUG
rnacentral:miRNA from 1 species